UUGGUUUUUCACUUACUCACAAAAUAUUUGUGUAUGGUUGUUAGAAACAUAAAAAAAAAUGUAUAAAUUUACAUUUUGUUUCACAAAAUUGAUAUUUACUAUAAAUAAUACCAUUUAGGGUCGCAGUUCCCAAUUGUCGAUGAAUAUCAGUCCUGUUUGAAGAGGAAUGAUGUACUGUUUGCAAACUAAAACUUAUAGUGUAUUUGAUUAUCAAUUCUUUUUAAUAAGAUAAAUCACUGGUAUUUAAUAUUGAUUUUACGAUUUUUUUUCAAACUAUUUAAAUGGAGCAUGUCUGAUAAGAAAUAUACCUUAAACAUAAAUGAAAAGA
rnacentral:lncRNA from 1 species